rnacentral:rRNA from 1 species
GACGAACGCUGGCGGCGUGCUUAACACAUGCAAGUCGAACGGAAAGGCCCUGCUUUUGUGGGGUGCUCGAGUGGCGAACGGGUGAGUAACACGUGAGUAACCUGCCCUUGACUUUGGGAUAACUUCAGGAAACUGGGGCUAAUACCGGAUAGGAGCUCCUGCUGCAUGGUGGGGGUUGGAAAGUUUCGGCGGUUGGGGAUGGACUCGCGGCUUAUCAGCUUGUUGGUGGGGUAGUGGCUUACCAAGGCUUUGACGGGUAGCCGGCCUGAGAGGGUGACCGGGCCAAAUGGGGAAUGAGAGAGGCCCAGACCCCAGAGGGGGGGCAGAAGGGGGAAUAAUGGAAAAAGGGGGGAAGGCUUGAGGCGGCACGCCGGGGGGGGGGAGGGGGGCUGUGGGGUUUAAAACCUUUUUCGCCGGUGAAGAGGGGGGAGUGAGGAAAAGGGAAAAAGAAACCCGGGAAAACAAGGGC